AUAAAGAACAGAAAUGUAAUUCUCACAGGGUGGAAGUCAGAAGGGCAAGAGCGGAUGAAUUCUGAAUCCUCACAUGACAGUAGAUCAGAAGAGGGUGAACCCACCCCCAUACAUCCUUUUCAUAAUGGCCUAAUCCAUCCAUGACCUAGCCACCUUCCCAAAGGCCACACCUCCCAACACUGUUGCAUUAGAGAUUAAGUUUCCAACACAUGAAUUUUGAAAGGGAACACAUUAAAACCAUAGCAAGGAGAAAAUAAAAAAAAGGCCAGGUUGGUCUCAGACAGGCAAGCCCCAUCUUUCCUGGUGUCUCAGCACAAACAUGAGCCCUAAACAUAACAUGCCUAUCUAUUCCUCUCCCCUAAGUUAC
rnacentral:lncRNA from 1 species